CCCAGUUCGGAUCGUAGGCUGCAACCCGCCUGCGUGAAGUCGGAAUCGCUAGUAAUCGCGGAUCAGCAUGCCGCGGUGAAUACGUUCCCGGGCCUUGUACACACCGCCCGUCACACCAUGAGAGUCGGGAACACCCGAAGUCCGUAGCCUAACCGCAAGGAGGGCGCGGCCGAAGGUGGGUUCGAUAAUUGGGGUGAAGUCGUAACAAGGUAAC
rnacentral:rRNA from 1 species